rfam:TPA: Bos taurus chromosome 1, whole genome shotgun sequence.
UCCUUGCUGGCUCAGAUGAUAAAGGACCUGCCUGCAGUGCAGGAGACCUGGGUUCAAUCCCUGGGUCAGGAA